rnacentral:rRNA from 1 species
AUCGAACGCUGGCGGCAGGCUUAACACAUGCAAGUCGAGCGAGCGGCGGACGGGUGAGUAAUGUCUGGGAAACUGCCUGAUGGAGGGGGAUAACUACUGGAAACGGUAGCUAAUACCGCAUACCAUCAGAUGUGCCCAGAUGGGAUUAGCUAUUGGGUGGGGUAAUGGCUCACCAAGGCGACGAUGCCUAGCUGGUCUGAGAGGAUGACCGGCCACACUGGAACUGAGACACGGUCCAGACUCCUACGGGAGGCAGCAGUGGGGAAUAUUGCACAAUGGGCGCAAGCCUGAUGCAGCCAUGCCGCGUGUGUGAAGAAGGCCUUCGGGUUGUAAAGCACUUUCAGCGAGGAGGCGUUACUCGCAGAAGAAGCACCGGCUAACUCCGUGCCAGCCGCCGCGGUAAUUC